ACAGGAUGAGGGAGGGCUUGAUCUGA
rnacentral:piRNA from 1 species